rnacentral:rRNA from 1 species
UACGUAGGGAGCAAGCGUUGUCCGGAAUCAUUGGGCGUAAAGCGCGCGUAGGUGGCCCCAUAAGUCCGCUGUGAAAGUCAAAGGCUCAACCUUUGAAAGCCGGUGGAUACUGUGGGACUAGAGUGCGGAAGAGGCGAGUGGAAUUCCUGGUGUAGCGGUGGAAUGCGCAGAUAUCAGGAGGAACACCAAUAGCGAAGGCAGCUCACUGGGACGUUACUGACACUGAGGCGCGAAAGCGUGGGGAGCGAACAGG